UAAUUGGGAAGAGAAUAGAAGAGGGCACCAUUUAUAGAGCAGAAAUGAAAAGUGGUUUGGGAGAGUCACUCUGUUCUUUUAUCUCUAUGACGCCCUGCCUUUUUUAUUGGUAUUGGUUAUUCCACACAUGGGUAGCUUAUGACCAGCUUACAGCUUUGGGGCCCAUUGCCGAGCGACUCUUAUCUUUCCUGUCUCCAUGGCUC